rnacentral:lncRNA from 1 species
CUCCAAUAAAGCAAAUUUUAUUCUAUUUCCUAUUUACCCUAUUUAAAAUACAAAAGAUGAAUGAACAAUUUGUUAAUUCAAAAAACUGCUUAUAGCAUGAACAUUUAAACAACUAUAUAACUGCAAAUAUACCAUUAAAAUAAGUCCAACAAUUUAAAAACAAUUACAAAUCACUUACAAUAGUCAUCUAAUGUAUUCUUAAAGGCAAAUACAGAUUGUAUAUUUUUCAAAUGGAUGGAAAAACUAUUCCAACCACUUGGUGUCUGAGAAGCAAAUGACUGAUUGCUUUUCUGGUAUUAAACUAGGGGACUGCAAACAUUAAAAAAAUCACUAGACCUUGAAUUAUAUCAAAAUAUAAUUGGAAUAAAAUAAUUCAGAAGAUAAUUCAGUCUUGCUACUAAUGUCGUUUACACAGAUAGCAAUGCUAAUAUUUUUUCCUUUGUUGUAGACUUAGGCAGUUUAACUCUAUGGGUGCCAGCCUGACCCUCUGCACCAUGGAUGGUUUCUAUUUAAAGAUGAAUAUUUUUUCCUAAUGUUCCAAAAGAAGUAGUCCUCGGUGGAGAAGCUGAUCUUUACUGAUAUUCUGCAUAACUAAGAAGAG